CCCCUCUCAGGGUUGCACCUGGAGAGUUUCCAGUACUCUACCAGUCUCGGCUAUGGGAGGGAGAGUCAAGCAGAGGUCUACCCAUUCAGUUCUUAGCUUGGGCUGUGGCUCGCGAGUGGAAGGUAAUCUGUUACAAGU